rnacentral:rRNA from 1 species
UACGUAGGGGGCAAGCGUUGUCCGGAAUCAUUGGGCGUAAAGAGCGUGUAGGCGGCCAGAAAAGUCCGCUGUGAAAACUCGAGGCUCAACUUCGAGCUGUCGGUGGAAACUUUCUGGCUAGAGUCCGGAAGAGGAGAAUGGAAUUCCUGGUGUAGCGGUGAAAUGACGCAGAUAUCAGGAAGAACACCCGUGGCGAAGGCGGUUCUCUGGGACGGUACUGACGCUGAGACGCGAAAGCGUGGGGAGCAAACAGG